AGCGAACGCUGGCGGCAGGCUUAACACAUGCAAGUCGAGCGGGCCCUUCGGGGUCAGCGGCAGACGGGUGAGUAACACGUGGGAACGUACCCUUUGGUUCGGAAUAACGCUGGGAAACUAGCGCUAAUACCGGAUACGCCCUUUUGGGGAAAGGCUUGCUGCCGAAGGAUCGGCCCGCGUCUGAUUAGCUAGUUGGUGGGGUAAUGGCCUACCAAGGCGACGAUCAGUAGCUGGUCUGAGAGGAUGAUCAGCCACACUGGGACUGAGACACGGCCCAGACUCCUACGGGAGGCAGCAGUGGGGAAUAUUGGACAAUGGGCGCAAGCCUGAUCCAGCCUUGCCGCGUGAGUGAUGAAGGCCUUAGGGUUGUAAAGCUCUUUUGUCCGGGACGAUAAUGACGGUACCGGAAGAAUAAGCCCCGGCUAACUUCGUG
rnacentral:rRNA from 1 species